rnacentral:rRNA from 1 species
UACGUAGGUGGCAAACGUUAUCCGGAAUUAUUGGGCGUAAAGCGCGCGCAGGCGGUUUCUUAAGUCGGAUGUGAAAUCCAGCGGCCCAACCGCUGAAUUGCAUCCGAUACUGGGGAACUUGAGGACGGUAGAGGUCGGUGGAAUAUCCGGUGUACCGGUGAAAUGGACAGAUAUCGGAUGGAACACCAGUGGCGAAGGCGGCCGACUGGGCCGAUCCUGACGCUGAGACCCGAAAGCUAGGGUAGCGAACCGG